CCUACGGGCGGCAGCAGUGAGGAAUAUUGGUCAAUGGGCGUAAGCCUGAACCAGCCAAGUCGCGUGAGGGAUGAAGGUUCUAUGGAUCGUAAACCUCUUUUAUAAGGGAAUAAAGUGUGGGACGUGUCCUGUUUUGUAUGUACCUUAUGAAUAAGGAUCGGCUAACUCCGUGCCAGCAGCCGCGGUAAUACGGAGGAUCCGAGCGUUAUCCGGAUUUAUUGGGUUUAAAGGGUGCGUAGGCGGCCUUUUAAGUCAGCGGUGAAAGUUGGUGGCUCAACCAUAGAAUUGCCGUUGAAACUGGGAGGCUUGGGUAUGUUGGAGGCAGGCGGAAUGCGUGGUGUAGCGGUGAAAUGCUUAGAUAUCACGCAGAACCCCGAUUGCGAAGGCAGCCUGCCAAGCCAUGACUGACGCUGAUGCACGAAAGCGUGGGGAUCAAACAGGAUUAGAUACCCCAGUAGUC
rnacentral:rRNA from 1 species